GGGCGGAUAGCUCAGUUGGUAGAGCAACGGAUUGAAAAUCCGUGUGUCGGCGGUUCGACUCCGCCUCUGCCCACCA
rnacentral:tRNA from 2 species